rnacentral:rRNA from 1 species
AGCGAACGCUGGCGGCAGGCUUAACACAUGCAAGUCGAGCGGGCGUAGCAAUACGUCAGCGGCAGACGGGUGAGUAACGCGUGGGAACAUACCUUUGGUUCGGAACAACACAGGGAACGUUGUGCUAAUACCGGAUAAGCCCUUACGGGGAAAGGAUUUAUCGCCGAAAGAUUGGCCCGCGUCUGAUUAGCUAGUUGGUGAGGUAAUGGCUCACCAAGGCGACGAUCAGUAGCNGGUCUGAGAGGAUGAUCAGCCACAUUGGGACGUGAGACACGGCCCAAACUACCUACGGGAGGCAGCAGUGGGGAAGUAUUGGACAAUGGGCGGCAAGCCUGAUCCAGCCAUGCCGCGUGAGUGAUGAAGG